rnacentral:tRNA from 1 species
GGAGAAAUGGCCGAGUGGUUUAAGGCAUUGCAUUGCUAACGCAAAGUAUAUUUUUAAUAUACCAAGGGUUCAAAUCCCUUUUUCUCCG